UACGUAGGGUGCAAGCGUUAAUCGGAAUUACUGGGCGUAAAGCGUGCGCAGGCGGUUUGCUAAGACAGGUGUGAAAUCCCCGGGCUUAACCUGGGAACUGCGCUUGUUACUGGCAGGCUUGAGUGUGGCAGAGGGGGGUGGAAUUCCACGUGUAGCAGUGAAAUGCGUAGAGAUGUGGAGGAACACCGAUGGCGAAGGCAGCCCCCUGGGCUAACACGUGACGCUCAUGCACGAAAGCGUGGGGAGCAAACAGG
rnacentral:rRNA from 1 species